GACGUAGGGUGCAAGCGUUGUCCGGAUUUACUGGGCGUAAAGCGCGCGUAGGCGGUCUGUUAAGUGCACAAGUGAAAGCUCCGGGCUCAACUCGGAAAUUGCUUUGCAUACUGGCAGGCUGGAGGGACGCAGAGGUCUGUGGAAUUCCUGGUGUAACGGUGAAAUGUGUUGAUAUCAGGAGGAACACCCAUGGCGAAGGCAGCAGACUGGGCGUUUCCUGACGCUGAGGCGCGAAAGCGUGGGUAGCAAACAGG
rnacentral:rRNA from 2 species